AAAAAAAUAUAAGUACUUAUUAUUUUUAUAAGAUUUUAAUUAAUAAAUACUAAUUUAUCUAAGAGCAAUAACGUAAUUUACCUUUCAAAAUGUCAACUUCACACAAUUUUAGUGCUAAUUUGGGGCAAAUUAAUCUACUCUAUCAAUUUUAUGGUCUAACUGACCUAACCUUUAUAUUUUACAUUUAAUUGUAUCUUGUUACCUUGAUGAGGUAUAAAUUGAACUUUUGAACAGAUAUGGUGAUGAGUUAUAAAUCAAAAGGAAGAUGAGAAGAUGAAAUAAGUAAAGUGUUUGGGUUAUUAAAAUGGGCUAUAAAUUGUGAAGUUAAAGGGUUUAGUAGCCUAGAUUGCAUAACAGUUGUGUGAUUAAUUGCAAACAAAUCAUAUUUUUAUUUAUGCCUUAGUUUUUUAGUAAAUAGAUAUCACAGUUAAUUUUGCUGACUCUGAGAUUGAAGGAUCAAUAUAGUGAUAAAUAAAAUUUGAAAAGAAAUAUGUAAUGAAAAUUUGAAAAGAAAUAUGUAAUG
rnacentral:misc_RNA from 1 species